rnacentral:rRNA from 1 species
AACGAACGCUGGCGGCAGGCUUAACACAUGCAAGUCGAGCGCCCCGCAAGGGGAGCGGCAGACGGGUGAGUAACGCGUGGGAAUCUACCCAGUUCUACGGAAUAACACAGGGGAAACUUGUGCUAAUACCGUAUACGCCUACGGGGAAAGAUUAUCGGAAUUGGAUGAGCCCGCGUUGGAUUAGCUAGUUGGUGGGGUAAUGGCCUACCAAGGCGACGAUCCAUAGCUGGUCUGAGAGGAUGAUCAGCCACACUGGGACUGAGACACGGCCCAGACUCCUACGGGAGGCAGCAGUGGGGAAUAUUGGACAAUGGGCGAAAGCCUGAUCCAGCCAUGCCGCGUGAGUGAUGAAGGCCCUAGGGUUGUAAAGCUCUUUCAGUGGGGAAGAUAAUGACGGUACCCACAGAAGAAGCCCCGGCUAACUUCGUGCCAGCAGCCGCGGUAAU